rnacentral:lncRNA from 1 species
AUGAGAUUCUCAGCUCUCCUCCUCCUGGCAGCUCUGGCUGGGGCCCUGGUCUGUGCCCAAGAUGCCCCCUCUGAUCCCACCGAGGCUACUCCGGGGACUGUGGCCACUGAACCUGAAGUGACUACAUCUCCAGCGGAAACUGUUCCACCCCAAGAGACACCCCAGGAGCCAAACAGCGCCACCACAAGUAAAGAAGGAUUAAACCCACUGAAACUCCUGGUGAGCAAAGGUAGCUUGGUAGCAGAACAAGGCUUUCAAGAAGCAAGAAAAAAACUGCGUGAAGGAAAACUUUAUGAACGUGGAGUUGAAUUAGCAGAAAAACUGAAGAAAUUUGCUCCCAGUUCCUUUCUUCUAAGUUGAGUCUAAGAAUUUGAAAAGAACGGGGCCCCUGGACUCAAAGCCUUAAACAUGCUUGCAGCCCAGAACGAUUAAACUGAAGCAUCCAACAUGCUGUGUGCCUGUGCUCUGUGGGGCGGGCCCGGGAGGAGGUGGGGAGCAAAGCCAUCCGCUGGAACGCCAAGAGGCCCUGGGUGUCCUGACCCAGGCCCUUGGGCCUGUCAAGCCUUCCCUUGAGGACGCAACCCCUAACAAACCCUUUCAUUUGCACUGAGCCACCAGCCACACGUGCUGGGCCUCCUUCUAGUGCAAAUGCCUCUCCAGUUCUGGUCUAAUCGCUCACAGAGAGUGCCUCAUGACAUUUGAGCACUUCCAAAAAUUAAAUCAACCUCCAAAGAACCAGGAUUUGUCAUCCUGAAAAUAGUCAAAGCCCGAGUCACUCUAUUAAAGCCAUUUUCUGGUGCCCUUAUUAAAAAUGCAUCCCUCCUGCCUUCCAUUCACCCUUUCUACACUGGGCCCAAGUGAAGGGCAAUGGCUAAUUAGACCAGAUCAGUAAAAUAAUGAGCCGCUGCAGUGAGAGCUGGCACUUGACUAAAAGGCCUAUUAACCCACUGCAACAAUCCAUGUGAUUAGCGUACCCCGUUUCCCUCCACCACAGUCUGGGAUCGCGCUUCACACUCUGCACACAGGUGAGCAGGGGAAGAAUAUUCAUGACUGUGGAGGAAGACAGGACAACGCUCUCCUGCCAACCCUCUUCCCAAGCCUGGUGUGUGGCAGGGUGUGCUUUCUAACCCUCCCAGAGUCCUUGAUUCUAGAUGGUCCUUCCUCCACCCCACCUAACACCCACCCCCUCUAUCCUGGGAGUGACAGCAUUCGACCUAGACCCUGUUUUAUUUAUUUUUUUAUGUAUUUAUUUAUUUUGAGAGGGGGGCAGGGGCAGAGAGAGAGGGAGGGAGAGAGCGAAUCCCAGGAAGGCUCCACACUGUCAGCACAGAGUCCUAUGUGGGGCUUGAACUCACAAACC